CUGUAGCUCACCAUUCAUUUGCCCAGCCUAAACUAUGAGUGCAGUGACAUUUCUUACAUUGGUUCUUGUCCUCUGGACCAAGAGUACCAGUGGGGACAUUGUGGUCACUCAGUCUCCGUCCAUUAUGUCUGCUGUUCCUGGCAGCACUGUGACCAUCACAUGUACGGCAGACACCAGGGUAGACGAUGACAUGUCAGUGUAUCACAAGGCCCCUGGACAGACAUACAAGCUUCUGUUUGGAGAAAGUGUUAGACAAAGUGGCGUACCUGACCGGUUUACAUUUUCUGGCUAUGACUACAAGUUUACCUUCCAAAUUACUAAUUUCCAGUUGGAGGAUGCAGGCUUUUAUUACUGUCAGCAGAGUGAAGCUACUCCUCACACACAGUGA